CUAAACUGUCAAAACCGAGACCUGGCCCUGGUGGUGCUGCACUGUAUGGGGGUGGUGCUGAUGCAGUAAGGACACCUGCUGAGCUGCUGGGAUGGACCCCUCCUGAAGGCUGCUGCUGCUGAUCAGGGUUCGGAAGCUGGCAAUAUUUGGAAUGGUUUCGUUUUACGUACUGGAGCUCAUUGCUAUUAUGACAGAGGAACCAAAACACCUUCGCCUGACUGUUGUUUUUGUGAGGGAUGGCCAACACGCUGUCAUAAGAUGCUCCUCUCGGAAGUUCAGGUCUGUUAGGGAAGCCACUCGUGUAUUCCCCGAAGGCAAAUCUUUUACAUACAUCCUAAGGAAGAAUUCUGAAGCUAUAGACAUUGUUUAAAUAUUGUAUGAGUUCUCAGUUUAGCAUAGUCAAAACCAAGCAUAAAUGCAGAGCUGAUGCACUAUUUGACAUAAUCAUGAAUUAGCACUGUGUUUUACAAUAGUGGUGCAUAGAGAUUUAUUAUUGUAUGUAUACAUAUAUCUAAGGGAGAUUUAUGUCUGAAAGGCACUGAUGCAAGCGUGCAAAUUUAUAGUUUGCACUAUAUUAUGAAAUGCUCUAGGUAUCCAUUGUUGCACUGCUUGAAUUCAUGUACAUGCCAAAUAGUACAUUUACGAUGACUCAAUUCCACACGCAACAAAAUAAUAAAUGUACAGUGCUUUAGCAGAUGAUGUAAAUUAGUAUGAAAGGUGUAAACAUUUAUUGAAUGAGGUUGAUGGCACAUCAUGUGUUUUGUUGGACCCAAGGACCCAAAUAAUAUUAAUAUGUAUAGGUUGGUCGAGUUCAUUGUAAAUGCCUUUAAAAACACUAAUGUGAAGAUAACUUGACACUUUUACAAAGUAUCUACAUAUAUACAUAAACAGAAAAUGAUGACACAAGUGACAUUCAAAACUUUACACACCAUGUAUGAAGAUCUUCCUGUUAUUGUACUGAAGGAAAUACUAAAGUGCCAGGAGGAAAUAAAGACACCGUUAAUAGUUGAUGAUCGCAGUGAUUGUGGAAAUAAAGACACGUUAACAGUUGAUGAUCGCAGUGAUUGAGGAAAUAAAGACACCGUUAAUAGUUGAUGAUCGCAGUGAUUGUGGAAACAAGAGGUACUGUGAGCAAUGCUCACUAAGAAUACCCCCCGCUUACCACAAUCUCCCAAAGGGUGUUGGUAAUAGGUAUAAACUACCUCUUUUCUGAGUGUAAAAAACAAAUGGCAUGACAAACCGAACCAUAUUGCUACUUCGAUGUCAAGUGCGCGUGACCUUUGACCUUUUGACCCCAAAAUCGAUAGGGAACAUCUUCAUCCCAUGGGUAGUCCAUAUGUAUGAUAUGGUGACUGUAGGUGGAAAGGAUAACGCUUUAGAGCCCGGAAACCAUAUUGCUACUUCGAUGUCCAGUGCGCUUGACCUUUGACCUUUUGACCCCAAAAUCAAUAGGGAACAUCUUCAUCCCAUGGGUAGUCCAUAUGUAUGAUAUGGUGACUGUAGGUGGAAAGGAUAACGCUUUUGAGCUCAGAAACCAUAUUGCUACUUCGAUGUCCAGUGCGCUUGACCUUUGACCCCAAAAUUGAUAGGGAACAUCUUCAUCCCAUGGGUAGUCCAUAUAUAUGAUAUGGUGACGGUAGGUGGAAAGGAUAAUGCUUUAGAGCCUGGAAACCAUUGUUGUGUCUACAGACGGACGGACGGACAGACAGACAGACGGACAACCCGAUUCCAGUAUACCCCCCCCCCCCCCCCCCACAACUUGUUGCGGGGGGUAUAAUAAAGACACCGUCAACAGUUGAUGAUCGCAGUGAUUGAGGAAAUAAAGACACCGUUAACAGUUGAUGAUCGCAGUGAUUGUGAAAAUAAAGACACCGUUAACAGUUGAUGAUUGCAGUAAUUGAGAAAAUAAAGACACCGUUAAUAGUUGAUGAUCGCAGUAAUUGAGAAAAUAAAGACACCGUUAAUAGUUGAUGAUCGCAGUGAUUGUGGAAAUAAAGACACCGUUAACAGUUGAUGAUCGCAGUAAUUGAGGAAGUAAAGACACCGUUAACAGUUGAUGAUCGCAGUAAUUGAGGAAAUAAAGACACCGUUAAUAGUUGAUGAUCGCAGUGAUUGAGGAAAUAAAGACACCGUUAACAGUUGAUGAUCGCAGUGAUUGAGGAAAUAAAGACACCGUUAACAGUUGAUGAUCGCAGUGAUUGAGGAAAUAAAGACACCGUUAACAGUUGAUGAUCGCAGUGAUUGAGGAAAUAAAGACACCAUUAACAGUUGAUGAUCACAGUGAUUGAACCCUACAUAGGAAGUUACUGUUUUACUUUAUUAAUCUUUAUAUCUUACGGAUGACAAUUGUUGCUACUAUGGAUCAGAUUGGAAUUAGACAUUUCAAUAUAGUAUACAAGUAAAUUUAAAAUGAAGGCAAUAAAUGUUUAAACCAAGCCAAAGGUCUGUGGAAUAUAAACUUACUUGCUGCGUGUGCUAACUGGCUUCAAAGUUAUAGCUUAGUAAAUAUAUUCGCACUAGAGGGGGGACAAGUGGUUAACCCUAAAGUAUCAGCAGGUAAUUUUGGUUUGCUGGUAUGAAAAAAUUGUGACAGACAACAAGAGACUGGUCGUCUAUCACAAUAUAUCAGACCUGCAGUAGUUCUGACAAUCUACAAGUCAGACUAGCUUUCGUAAGUUGUACAAAUUUAAUAAACAUCCAACAUCAACCAGUCUUUGUAAAGGAAAUACACUUACCUUCAUAUGAAUUUUAGCUUUAAUUUCAAGAUCGCCUUGUCGAUUAUACAUGCACAAGUCACUGUUGUCAUAAAGAACUAACCAAAUGUCCUUCCAUCCACCAGAAAACAUACUUUCUAUAAACAAAUGAUAAAACAUCUAAAUUUAAAAUUAACUUUGCAUUAACAUCCAUGUGUAAAUGUGCAGCAGAGUUCUCUAAACAAAGUUAUAUGAUGCAAUCUUCAAUAAUAUAAAAAAAACAUUGCCAUAAAAGUUAGUUUGACGGUCCCUGCAAGUUCCCUAUAAUUAUACAUGAUCUUUUACUGUGUUGAAAUCCAAUGGUUUUGAUCUUUGUGGUGUCCAGUGGGUUAUUUGAUACUUGGUUUUAAUUUGAAAUCAGGGAUAAAUGCAUGUGGCUUUUAAUAGCUUCCUUACAUUGAUGGUGCUAUCAUUUAAUUUACUUCCUCGAUCUUUAAAAAAUCUCAUGACACAAUGAAUUUUUACACAAUUUAGAUGUGAGAUGUUUUAAAUGCUUAUCUUUCAUUUCCAUUUGAAUCAUACUGGGUUGGAGGUUAUGACUAUUAGAAAUAAAAAAAAACAACAACCCAAAAACAUCAGAUGCUUGUUACAUCAAUGCAUAUGUAAAAUUACAGAGCAGGCACAAGUCACCAGUCUGUCUUAAUUCUCAAAUUCUAAUACAAAGACUUUUUGAAAACUAAAUGGUCUGAAGGUUUUGUCUACUAAAAAAUUCAUUUCGACUGAUCUGCUGAUAGGAACUAUAUUCAUUUCCUCAAAUGAAAUUAUCUAAGAGUACACAAAGAAACAUUGUGAUCACAAUCUCCAUUUAGAUAUGUUUGUGAUAAAUGACCUUCAUUCUUACAAUGUUUGUUAAUGGAAUUAAAAGAAUAAUAUAA